rnacentral:misc_RNA from 1 species
AUUGAUGAGCAUGAUUUCAACACCAAGCUUCGUAACGCUCGUAAGUUCCUUGAAAAAGGAGACAAAGUUAAAGCGUCAAUCCGAUUUAAAGGUCGUGCGAUUACGCACAAAGAAAUUGGUCAACGUGUUCUGGAUCGCUUCAGUGAUGAGUGUAAAGAUGUAGCAACCGUUGAAUCAAAACCGAAAAUGGAUGGUCGCAGUAUGUUCUUGGUGCUUGCACCAGUCAACGAAAAAUAAAGGACCCGAGGAGGAAAAGCAUCAUGCCAAAAAUGAAAACUCACCGCGGCUCAGCUAAGCGUUUCAAGAAAACAGGUUCUGGUAAACUUAAACGUUCA